rnacentral:rRNA from 1 species
AUACGGAGGGUGCGAGCGUUAAUCGGAAUUACUGGGCGUAAAGGGUACGUAGGCGGUUAUUUAAGUUGGAUGUGAAAUCCCCGGGCUCAACCUGGGAACUGCAUCCAAAACUGGGUGACUAGAGUGUAUAAGAGGUUAGCGGAAUUCCAGGUGUAGCAGUGAAAUGCGUAGAUAUCUGGAGGAACAUCAGUGGCGAAGGCGGCUAACUGGUAUAACACUGACGCUGAGGUACGAAAGCGUGGGGAGCGAACGGGAUUAGAAACCCUAGUAGUCC